rnacentral:rRNA from 1 species
CCUACGGGUGGCAGCAGUGAGGAAUAUUGGUCAAUGGACGCAAGUCUGAACCAGCAAUGCCGCGUGCAGGAAGACGGCUCUAUGAGUUGUAAACUGCUUUUGUACGAGGGUAAACGCAGAUACGAGUAUCUGUCUGAAAGUAUAGUACGAAUAAGGAUCGGCUAACUCCGUGCCAGCAGCCGCGGUAAUACGGAGGAUUCAAGCGUUAUCCGGAUUUAUUGGGUUUAAAGGGUGCGUAGGCGGUCGGAUAAGUUAGAGGUUAAAUCCCGAGGCUCAACUUCUGAAUUGCCUCUGAUACUGUUCGGCUAGAGAGUAGUUGCGGUAGGCGGAAUGUAUGUUGUAGCGGUGAAAUGCUUAGAGAUCAUACAGAACACCGAUUGCGAAGGCAGCUUACCAAGCUACUUCUGACGUUGAGGCACGAAAGCGUGGGGAGCAAACAGGAUUAGAUACCCCAGUAGUC